ACCUCUAAUGCCCCCCUGUGACAUCAUCAGUGUCCCGGCCCUCUUGGCUCUGCCCGUGAGUGUAACGUCCAUGGCUCCUGUCCAAUCCCAGAGCCUGACUGUCACCAGUCUUACUACUACAACAUCCUCGUCAGUUUAUAACCCGGGGAAAUGUCAGAGUUCAACGUCUUCCACUACACCUUUACAACCUGCCGCAUCCUGCACCCCUCUGACAUCACCCAGGUCACCUCCAGUUCCCACUGUCAGUCUUCUGUCUCAGAGUACACUCCCAGCUCCAUGAGGACAGGCCCCAGCACCCCGGUGACCCCCUGCAGGCUGAGUUUGGGGGUGGACUCCUUCCCCCCUCGCCGUCCCCCCGCCCCCUGUGGCCUGGCCAAGCUGGUCCUGGAGAGGGGCAUCUCUGCUUCCCUCUCCACCGCCGAUGCCCCCCCCUCCCUCUCACCUUAAAGCCCCACUCCCCCAGCGUCUCCUCCCCAGAACGCCCCCCAACUCCCCGUCCCACUCGCCAACCUCCUCGCCUGUGCCCUUUGAGUCCCGCGCCUCGGCGCCAGCCACCUGUGACAACUUCCUGGCAUCGCGUCCGGCCGAGCUCUUCCUCCAGGACGUGUAUGGGCUGAAGUUUGGCCGCACCCAUCGCCCCAACCUCCCCAGCCCCGACCCCGCCUCACAUAGCUUCAGCCACGGCCCCAGAAUCAAAUCCAAAGCCAAACCCGACCCCAUCAAUGUAAACUUAGUCGAGAGGCUACGCCGGCUGGGAUUGGUCAAGGUUCCCAGGGGGUGGAGCCGUUGUCAGAGUGCCUGGUGCGUCAGGACUCGGCCACCUUCCUAGCCACAGGCGUAGGCAGUCUAUUGGACGGCCUGCGGCGGAACCAGAGCCUCCCCGCUAUGAUUGGAGCGACGCGGGGAAGCCCCUCCCACCAUCUGGGCCAGGCCCCACCUCAACCACCCACCUCCCUAGCCAUCGCCCCGCCACUCUGGGCAACCUGAAGGGGCAGCGCUCUGUCCGCUCUAGGCCCGCCUCCACCUCCACCUCCCAUGCCCCACCCCCUUCACUCAAACCAUGAAGAAGUUAUGACACUACAGGGAGGCAGGGUUUGGAGGGGAGCCAGCACCGAACAGAAGCAUUUGGGCCCACAUCCUCUCUCCUCUUUCCUCCCUCCACCCCUCCCUGCCUUGCUCCUUCUCCACAUCUCUUUUAGACUGAUAUUCGGCGAAGAAAAGGGCAACAAGUGGGGGGAAAAGUCCCUCUCCUAUUUUAUACAUUAUUUUUAAAAGCACAAUAUUGUUAAAAAUGGAAAUGUGCAUUAAUGCCACGGUGUAUAUGCCAUUUUAAAAGCCUUAGAUUGCCUGCAAGGGGCUUUAUUAGCUGUUCCUAGCCUUGCCUGCCUUCCCCCUCCAGCCCUCUAGGAGCGCUGUAGGUAGACGUUCUCCCUGCUCUCUUCUGCUCUGCCCCUGCUACAGUAGUUAUUCAUCUGCGAGGCUCUGGAUGCUCAAAUAGAUGGGAAGAUGACCGAGGGGAUAAGUAAGUUGAUGAGGGCUUGAGAAUGUUUAGAGGGACGGGAAAGAAGAGGUAAAAAGAGGAAGUGGCAGAAUGUGACUUUGGUGUCAAGGAGAGGAAGAACAAACAAGAGAAAGAGAUGAGAGAGAGGGAGACGAGGAGGACAUGAGGGGGGAUGAGAUAAGAGCAGUGUAAAGAAAAAGAGAUGAGGGGGGAUGAGAGAAGAGCACUGUAAAGAGAGGGCUUGAGCCUCCAGAGCCUCAAUGUCUAGGGGCUUGUUGUUCUGUAGUUCGAAUAGCUUUCUAAAGUUCAUUUUUAAAAGCAGUAGAGUAGUUUUUCAUGUGUAUAUACGCUAGCUAGACUCACUACGCCCCUUAGCUUCUCUUAGGAACUAGGCUGGUGCCCAUGCACCUUACUACUGCCAGCCCGUUGCUAGGGAACUACAAUCUAGCCUUCCCAGUGUUACUACUAAUACAAUGAUCCUUUUGCUUUGCUGUUGUCAGGGGCAACUCUCUCUGUGCAUUGUAAUAGGCUACAACCAGUCUCUGAAAUGCAUGGUAUGUCCUGAAAACGACACACUUCUUUGCCUACAGGUCCCAGCAUGCACCUGGCCCUCUGGGGGUGGGUAGGACCCAGCCGUGCAGCGUGAUUCGCUGUAAUGGUCUGACUGACAGGUCCGAGUCUGCUCCUCCUCAGGUCUCCCAUAAGGAAGAGGUUGUAAAGCUUUAAAGGAGAAGCCUGUUUGUACUGUUGGGGUGUUUCUGGUUUAAAGCCAUGUGUAUAUUUUAUUAGACACUUAGUGGGAUUGGUAGGUUUUGUUUUGGAUGCCGUUAGCCUGGUCCCAGAUCUGUUUGUGCGGUCUUGCCAUACCCCUAUUGUCAUUGUCAUGUUACAGCACAAACUGAUCUGGAACCAGGCUAGGAUGCAGCUGGGAUGGACUUUUCCUCAGCUUGUGGAGAUCUGAGAGGAUUUGAUUGGUAUAACCAAUAUGGUGACACUUCCACCUAGCCUAUCAGAGGGCACGGUAGAUGUAUUACCAAAUUGCUUACACCUGUCAAAUCCUGACAGACUCCCCACAAGUGCAUAGGGCUUAGAGGUCGAUUUGGGAUGGAAGGUUGCAAGGUUAUUGACUGGAAACGGAGAACAUGGUAGUUGCUGGAGAGGCUUUUUAACAGCACAGGUCCAAAUAGCCCCGCUGAGGAACAGGCCCUUAUCUCAGGCCCACGGCGUGCUCAGGUCUGCGUUCUUUAGGGCACACCAUUGUGGAAUGUUCCAGUAGAAAUAUAUGCAGAACAACUAUGCCUCUGACAUAAGGAAUCACGUCAGCUCUAUUCAAGACAGUUCUAACGUUCCACAACGUUUACCUCCUCAACAUGCUCCUGGUACAAGAGGUUUGGUCCCAAACGGGGAACCAUCAGCAUCCUAGGUAGUAGUGGUUGUACUAUGUUUUGAUCCAGGUUAGCUCUGAGUCUCAUCUCAUGUAUGGUUCACUAUUACUGUGGUUAUGGUCUUUAAAGGUACUCUAUUCACUCAGCGGCCAGUAGAGGGCAACAUGGUGUUGUGUGAUAUUGAACAGCUAUGAGACUAACGGUCUCUAGUACCUUCCACUGUAAUGCUGUUUAUUUUAAAUCUGAAAGGACUUGAUGGGUGUAGCGGCAGAGCUAAGCAUUCUGGGGAAAUUCCAGCCAACCUAUCAGAGGUCAAGGUCAACAAAUCCCAUAUUGUUAUUCCAUUCAGGUCUACUGGAGUGUGUAGUGGGGAGGGGCUAGACUAGAGCCUGGGUACCAGUCUGUGUUCACAUGACACAGAGUACAUGACCUGGAAUGCUAGCAAGACAGGUUCUGUAUUUCAAGCUAGCUAGUGUGUGACCCUUUGACCCGGUGCCCUUUGACCCCUGGUGUGACUCUCAGACGUCCCUGCUACGCCUCUUUCCUUACCGUCCGUCUGACCUGUCCCACUCAUGUACUGCACUUUUUAACCUGAUUUACAGAGAUCACUAGUUAGGAAAUAUUAUUAGUGACAAAUAUUGAUAUUUAGACUAGGUUAUAGCAUCAAAUACUGUUUCAUUAUCAAAGGUAAUAAGUUAUUUAGGAUUUCAUGUAGACAUUUAUUUGAGAUGUUUUGUUGUGCCUCCAUUGUGUGAUGAACCAUUGAAAAGGGAAUCCAAGCUGUCAUGUUUUUAAAACUGUAUAUCAGUGCAUACCAAAACUCAUUUUUAAAUACAGUGAAAUGCUUUGUGUUGGCUUGUGUGUGUUGUAAUACCUAUGUAACCAUGAGGAAAGAGCAUCAGUUUUAUACUAGGGUUUCUGCUCUGGGGGAGGUAUAGGAGGAGAGGCUGUUCGUUCUAUUGAAUCUAGUUCUAUGAUUCACACCGUUGGCUCUAUUGAAUGUAGCUGAUGGGUGAUGGUGCAGGUUGUUAUGGGCUAUGUGUAGUUGGAAGUGUUCAUUAUUGGUUUUCGACCUGGCGCCUCUCCUCCAUGCUUCAGAAAAUACCCAAGAUUACCUUUUUGGUGCUUUUGUUUUAAUAAAGGAAAUGAGAAAUGA